GGGUCUGUAGCUCAGUCGGAUAGAGCAACGGCCUUCUAAGCCGUUUGUCGGGGGUUCAAAUCCCUCCAGGCUCGCCA
rnacentral:tRNA from 1 species